rnacentral:rRNA from 1 species
UGGGGAAUUUUGGACAAUGGGCGCAAGCCUGAUCCAGCAAUGCCGCGUGCAGGAAGAAGGCCUUCGGGUUGUAAACUGCUUUUGUACGGAACGAAACGGCUCUGGUUAAUACCUGGGGCUAAUGACGGUACCGUAAGAAUAAGCACCGGCUAACUACGUGCCAGCAGCCGCGGUAAUACGUAGGGUGCAAGCGUUAAUCGGAAUUACUGGGCGUAAAGCGUGCGCAGGCGGUUUUGUAAGACAGACGUGAAAUCCCCGGGCUCAACCUGGGAAUGGCGUUUGUGACUGCAAAGCUGGAGUGCGGCAGAGGGGGAUGGAAUUCCGCGUGUAGCAGUGAAAUGCGUAGAUAUGCGGAGGAACACCGAUGGCGAAGGCAAUCCCCUGGGCCUGCACUGACGCUCAUGCACGAAAGCGUGGGGAGCAAACAGG